GAGUUUGAUCUUGGCUCAGGAUGAACGCUGGCGGCGUGCCUAAUACAUGCAAGUCGAACGAACAGAUAAGGAGCUUGCUCCUUUGACGUUAGCGGCGGACGGGUGAGUAACACGUGGGUAACCUACCUAUAAGACUGGAAUAACUCCGGGAAACCGGGCUAAUGCCGGAUAACAUGUUGAACCGCAUGGUUCUACAGUGAAAGACGGUCUUGCUGUCACUUAUAGAUGGACCCGCGCCGUAUUAGCUAGUUGGUGGGGUAACGGCCUACCAAGGCGACGAUACGUAGCCGACCUGAGAGGGUGAUCGGCCACACUGGAACUGAGACACGGUCCAGACUCCUACGGGAGGCAGCAGUAGGGAAUCUUCCGCAAUGGGCGAAAAGCCUGACGGAGCAACGCCGCGUGAGUGAUGAAGGUCUUCGGAUCGUAAAAGCUCUGUUGUUAGGGAAGAACAAAUGUGUAAGUAACUGUGCAUAUCUUGACGGUACCUAACCAGAAAAGCCACGGCUAACUACGUGCCAGCCGCCGCAGU
rnacentral:rRNA from 1 species